UACGUAGGGUGCAAGCGUUGUCCGGAAUUAUUGGGCGUAAAGAGCUCGUAGGCGGUCUGUCACGUCGGCUGUGAAAUCCCGAGGCUCAACCUCGGGUCUGCAGUCGAUACGGGCAAACUAGAGUAUUGCAGGGGAGACUGGAAUUCCUGGUGUAGCGGUGAAAUGCGCAGAUAUCGGGAGGAACACCGGUGGCGAAGGCGGUUCUCUGGGCCUUACCUGACGCUGAGGAGCGAAAGCGUGGGGAGCG
rnacentral:rRNA from 1 species